rnacentral:rRNA from 1 species
CCUACGGGAGGCAGCAGUGGGGAAUUUUGGACAAUGGGCGCAAGCCUGAUCCAGCAAUGCCGCGUGAGUGAAGAAGGCCUUCGGGUUGUAAAGCUCUUUUGUCAGGGAAGAAACGGCUGAGGUUAAUACCUUUGGCUAAUGACGGUACCUGAAGAAUAAGCACCGGCUAACUACGUGCCAGCAGCCGCGGUAAUACGUAGGGUGCAAGCGCUAAUCGGAAUUACUGGGCGUAAAGCGUGCGCAGGCGGUUUUGUAAGUCUGACGUGAAAUCCCCGGGCUCAACCUGGGAAUUGCGUUGGAGACUGCAAGGCUGGAGUCUGGCAGAGGGGGGUAGAAUUCCACGUGUAGCAGUGAAAUGCGUAGAGAUGUGGAGGAACACCGAUGGCGAAGGCAGCCCCCUGGGUCAAGACUGACGCUCAUGCACGAAAGCGUGGGGAGCAAACAGGAUUAGAUACCCUGGUAGUCCACGCCCUAAACGAUGUCUACUAGUUGUCGGGUCUUAAUUGACUUGGUAACGCAGCUAACGCGUGAAGUAGACCGCCUGGGGAGUACGGUCGCAAGNUUAAAACGUUAAAUGAAUUGACGG